UGGGGAAUCUUGGACAAUGGGCGCAAGCCUGAUCCAGCCAUGCCGCGUGAGUGAAGAAGGCCUUCGGGUUGUAAAGCUCUUUUACCAGGGACGAUAAUGACGGUACCUGGAGAAUAAGCCCCGGCAAACUUCGUGCCAGCAGCCGCGGUAAUACGAAGGGGGCUAGCGUUGUUCGGAAUUACUGGGCGUAAAGCGCACGUAGGCGGAUUGUUAAGUCAGAGGUGAAAUCCCGGAGCUCAACUUCGGAACUGCCUUUGAUACUGGCAAUCUAGAGUCCGGAAGAGGUUAGUGGAAUUCCCAGUGUAGAGGUGAAAUUCGUAGAUAUUGGGAAGAACACCAGUGGCGAAGGCGGCUAACUGGUCCGGUACUGACGCUGAGGCACGAAAGCGUGGGGAGCAAACAGGAUUAGAUACCCAUGUAGUCCCUGAGCGGGCUGGCAAGGCGCAU
rnacentral:rRNA from 1 species